UGGGGAAUUUUGGACAAUGGGGGCAACCCUGAUCCAGCCAUUCCGCGUGAGUGAAGAAGGCCUUCGGGUUGUAAAGCUCUUUCGGCAGGAACGAAACGGCGGGCUCUAACAUAGCCUGUUAAUGACGGUACCUGCAGAAGAAGCACCGGCUAACUACGUGCCAGCAGCCGCGGUAAUACGUAGGGUGCGAGCGUUAAUCGGACUUACUGGGCGUACAGCGUGCGCAGGCGGAUUGUUAAGCAAGACGUGAAAUCCCCGGGCUUAACCUGGGAAUGGCGUUUUGAACUGGCAGUCUAGAGUGCGUCAGAGGGGGGUGGAAUUCCACGUGUAGCAGUGAAAUGCGUAGAGAUGUGGAGGAACACCGAUGGCGAAGGCAGCCCCCUGGGAUGACACUGACGCUCAUGUACGAAAGCGUGGGUAGCAAACA
rnacentral:rRNA from 1 species